rnacentral:rRNA from 1 species
UGGGGAAUAUUGGACAAUGGGCGCAAGCCUGAUCCAGCCAUGCCGCGUGAGUGAUGAAGGCCUUAGGGUUGUAAAGCUCUUUCGCCGGUGAAGAUAAUGACGGUAACCGGAGAAGAAGCCCCGGCUAACUUCGUGCCAGCAGCCGCGGUAAUACGAAGGGGGCUAGCGUUGCUCGGAAUCACUGGGCGUAAAGCGCACGUAGGCGGAUCGUUAAGUCAGGGGUGAAAUCCUGGAGCUCAACUCCAGAACUGCCCUUGAUACUGGCGAUCUCGAGUUCGAGAGAGGUUGGUGGAACUCCGAGUGUAGAGGUGAAAUUCGUAGAUAUUCGGAAGAACACCAGUGGCGAAGGCGGCCAACUGGCUCGAUACUGACGCUGAGGUGCGAAAGCGUGGGGAGCAAAACAGGAUUAGAUACCCUGGUAGUCCACGCCGUAAAACGAUGGAUGCUAGCCGUUGGGGGGUUUACCUCUCAGUGGCGCAGCUAACGCCUUAAGCAUCCCGCCUGGGGAGUACGGUCGCAAGAUUAAAAACUUAAAUGAAUUGACGGGGUCAUAGCUGUUUUCCU